AUGAUGAUGGUGAUGAUGAUGAUGAUGGUGAUGAUGAUGAUGGUGAUGAUGAUGAUGAUGAUGAUGAUGAUGACGAGCUGCAGCUCGUUUGUUAGUGACUCAGAGAGAAAGAAGAGUGAGCUGCUACAAGAGAAUGUCAAAGUUACCUGGUUCAUCCGACUCAGAGGACGUCGGCGAGCGAUCAGUUACAGAAAUCAGCAAGAUGUCUUCUGUUGAGGAGGAAGAGGAGGAGGAAGAGGAAGAGGAAGAGGAGGAGGAGGAGGAGGUGACAGGGUUCAGGUACAGAGGAAAAACAGCCUGGAUGAGAUUAGAAAACCUGAAGAGAAUUCAGAAGACGGAUUAUUCAGCUGCGACAAAGGAGAAAUUCUGAACUGGCUUCUACCAGAGGAGGAAGAGGAUGAUUUCUAGAAGGGAAAAGCAAACAAGAGAAAGUCAGAAGGACGGAAAAUAAAACAGAAGAAGCAAAAUAAACAAAGAAAAUGAAGACGAGAUCAAGAGGUUCAAUCUCGAACGCGAGUCGAGUGUGAAGACGGAGGCAGAUCCUGAGGAGAAGAAUGGAACUCCAUCCAAAGUCAAGAUGCUGGAAACCAGAGCUGAUCACGUGACCUGGGGGGGGGGGGGCUGUUACACAAACAAUGUUACCCUCGGUACAUUUCACGCCCCUGCGGGCGACAACAAUGGCGUCCGCGGCUCUUCCACCGUCUGAGCGUUGCUAGAUUUCUCUCUGGCUCUCUCUCUCUCUCGGUUUGCUCGAACAGCACAAAGUCCAAACAAUCGGAAGGUUUUUCCGUCGCGCUCAGCAGCUCGCGACUCGUAUAAAAACACAAAGGUCGCUGCUGCAGCCGCCGCCGCCGCCGCCGCGUUCCAACCGCUCGCAGGCGUUUCACGGCUCGCGGGCUGUGAGAAUGUGAGGCAGGAGAAUCGAACCGACGCCUUUGCCAUGGUGCUUGGGUGAGGAGUGUUACUGGGUUUCCCAAGGGGACGCUACUGAGAAGCUGGCUCACCAAGUCGCGGCCCAGGUUGCUGCUGCUGAUCGCAGGGUUGAAGAGGCCUCAGGUGACCCUCAUGAGGAGGAAAAGGAUGAAGCGCACAAAAGUAGCAAAGGCCACGUAAGCGGUAAAUAUGGCUUAUGUUGCACGGAGGAAUGCUGAACGUCGACGUCAACGAAAACAGAACCUGCAGCCGAAUGCCCCACUUCCCCUGAGUCCUUGACAAGGAGCAUCUUCUCGUUAGAUAUGGAAGAGAAGGAAAAGGAAAACCCGUGUGUACGAUCUUUGCCCCAGCAACGAACUAAAAUCCAGGAUCCACAGAACCGAGGGAAGACGGAGACCAAACCACAGAGAUCCAGACCUCCAGAUUAAUCAGGAUUACACCAGACCUGGACUGCCAGCUUCUUCAAAUACACGUGUUUUGGCUCAUGUCCAUCACUCCUGUCCAACGAGAAACUGUUGGUAUUACAGCCCAUCUGUCCGUGUCCUUAGUUCAGACUCUUGUCAGUUUUCCAGGUUGAUGUGUUUGAGUCUCAGGCGACAAAUCUGACGGGACGCCAACUUCUGUCUCACAUCUUUCUGUCAGCUCAAAACUUCUCGAGCGGUCGAAGCUUCACACGACAAACACCAAGAAAUGUGAACGUUACAACGUUCAACCUUCAAAAUAAUUGCUCAUAAAUCAUCUGUUGUGGGAUUUGCCCUCGCAGGCUGUGACGGAGUAAAUGAGACAUUCCUACACUCAAUCUUCUGGGUUGUUGUUUUUUCUUUUCAUUAAGUGGGUAGAACACGUUUUGCAAUAAAAAUCUUAAUUUUCGUCACAAUCAGUUGGUACAUUAUCGUACAUUAUCGUUGCCAAGUGACGGUGAAAUUUGCUUCAGGUGCGUCGCAAAGUCGUCACUGACUGAUAAUGUCUAUUUACAGACUGAUGGAAAUGAGAGUUUGUGAUGUGUUGCUAUGUCGCAGUUACUCACAAAUGGCAGUUUGCCAAAAAUAUCCUUUCGCUAGCAGCUGAGAAUAGUCUAGUUGGCCGAGGAGGUCGUGAACUUGCCAAACUUGUACUAAUGGUGUGCGCCUAAAAGCGAUAGUUUGAUUUGUUUGACUCAUCAUACAGCGGAAAGAAAUACAAAAACAAAAUGGAAACAAUUUUUUUUUCUUUUGACCAAAUUGAGCUUCAUCUCAUUUUGUUGUUUUAGUUAAAUUAACUUUCAACUCUGCAGAUAAAUUGACACUAACGCUCAAAACGCACACGCAACAAUAUUUUUUCGUAUUGUUAGCAUAGCUAAACCUCAUGGGUCUUUUUCUUUACAAGUAUUUUGAAUUUCUCUAGAUUCCCACAGAUGUAUGUUUGGUUAUGUGAUAUCAGUUCGCAACUUGUCUCGGUUUGUAUGGUGGAAAAAUCUAAAUCCCACCUUGUGCUCCGCAGACUUUUAAAUAAAGCACAGGGAGCUCCAACCCUCCGUCACAGGUAUUGAUCUUCUGCGAAAUGUCGAAACAUUUCAGUAAACACAUUUAUCCUCAAAAAGAAAAAUUCUUAAUUUUGACCUUUGGCGUCGAUUUGCAGUGAACUUAGCUUUUAUAUCUGCUGAUGAGCUACAGAGCAGCAUCUCAAAAAGAAUUCUUCUAAAAACAUCUGUUUGAUUUGAAAAUUCCCCAUCGAGUGUCGUGUUCCCCUCAUUCAGCAAGUUCCCAAAGAUAGACGGAGCUACACAAUUCUGUCAGAGACGUAACUGUGGAAGCUUUUUUUGGUUUUCACGUUAGAAUGGGAGAAUAUUGUCAACUACAGUUAUGUUAGCAUUAGCAUGACAGAACGGAAUAUGAACUCUAACGUUCUAAUAGGUGAGCUCACUAGCUAAAAUAAGCUAACAAAAUCUGAAUACAUUUUGAAACAGCCCUGAACUGUCAUAACACAUCAUUUACCAAAGUAAUGAAACAGCCUGCCAGAUACUGGACCGAAGCGUUUGUUUUACAUAUCAUAUUUCUCAGUUUUAUUAAUUGUAAAUUGUUGUUAAUGUGGUGUUAAGAAAGCUCAAUAGCAUGUUAUGAGUUAGCUUGAUGCUAAUGGCUAUAAAGAGAAACCGUUGCAGUCAGCUAGCUGGGUCUCUUUUUAUAUCUAUAGAGGCGAUAAAGAAGCUAAAGAGCUGCAGUUUUUCUCAAAAUACACGAAAUAGAUGAAACGUCCGUUAGAGACACAACUUGUGAACGCGUUUUAGCUUUUUCACGUUAUAAUGGGAAAAUAUAAAACAUGUUUGAACAGAAUAUGAAGGUUCUAAGUGACCUCACCUGCUAACACGAGCCAACACAAUCUGAGCACAUCUCAUGAAACACCAGCGUGAACCGAUCAAACUCACGGUCAGUGAACAGCCGACGAGUGAGUUUCCGCUUCACUCGUUCCGUUGACGUUUCUAAACUUCCACACGUCUUGUUAUUUCUCAGGAGUUAGUGUUGAGGAAGCUCAAUGACAGUUAGCUUGAUGCUAAUAGCUUCAUAGGGAUGCUGAUGCUAGCAGCUAGCUAGUCUAUUGCUGCCUCAUACUGUGAUUAUCUUAGCGGUAGCUAACAUGCUAAUACGCAGCCAAACGCAUAUGUUAGCAUUUGAUUCAGGCCGCGUGUGAAACGACUGUCCACUUCUUUUCUGUGACUCUGUAUUCAAGUUCGUUUGGCUCCAGUGAAACGUUGAAAAGAGCCUUUACGGAUGGUUUGAUAAUGAAAUGUAUAUUUUUGAUUUGAUUCUCUAUGAUCUGACUUGUUGCUUCUAGUUGAACCAUUUAAUGCAUUUGAAUAAAUUACUACUUUAGCUUUUGUGCUGACAAAAAUAAUCAUAAUAAAAAUAAUCAGCAUCAGAUUUAAA